rnacentral:rRNA from 1 species
UGGUGGAGUGAUUUGUCUGGUUAAUUCCGUUAACGAACGAGACCUUAGCCUGCUAACUAGUCGAUUCAAUCCCGAUUGACUUCGACUUCUUAGAGGGACUUUGUGACUAAACACAAGGAAGUUUGAGGCAAUAACA